UACAGAGGUCUCAAGCGUUGUUCGGAUUCAUUGGGCGUAAAGGGUGUGUAGGUGGCGCCGUAAGUCGGGUGUGAAAUUUCGGAGCUUAACUCCGAAACUGCAUUCGAUACUGCGGUGCUUGAGGACUGGAGAGGAGACUGGAAUUCCUGGUGUAGCGGUGAAAUGCGCAGAUAUCAGGAGGAACACCGGUGGCGAAGGCGGUUCUCUGGGCCUUACCUGACGCUGAGGAGCGAAAGCGUGGGGAGCGAACAGG
rnacentral:rRNA from 1 species